CCUGGCUCAGGAUGAACGCUGGCGGCGUGCCUAAUACAUGCAAGUCGAGCGAACAGAUAAGGAGCUUGCUCCUUUGACGUUAGCGGCGGACGGGUGAGUAACACGUGGAUAACCUACCUAUAAGACUGGGAUAACUUCGGGAAACCGGAGCUAAUACCGGAUAACAUAUUGAACCGCAUGGUUCAAUAGUGAAAGGCGGCUUUGCUGUCACUUAUAGAUGGAUCCGCGCCGUAUUAGCUAGUUGGUAAGGUAACGGCUUACCAAGGCAACGAUACGUAGCCGACCUGAGAGGGUGAUCGGCCACACUGGAACUGAGACACGGUCCAGACUCCUACGGGAGGCAGCAGUAGGGAAUCUUCCGCAAUGGGCGAAAGCCUGACGGAGCAACGCCGCGUGAGUGAUGAAGGUCUUCGGAUCGUAAAACUCUGUUAUCAGGGAAGAACAAAUGUGUAAGUAACUGUGCACAUCUUGACGGUACCUGAUCAGAAAGCCACGGCUAACUACGUGCCAGCAGCCGCGGUAAUACGUAGGUGGCAAGCGUUAUCCGGAAUUAUUGGGCGUAAAGCGCGCGUAGGCGGUUUUUUAAGUCUGAUGUGAAAGCCCACGGCUCAACCGUGGAGGGUCAUUGGAAACUGGAAAACUUGAGUGCAGAAGAGGAAAGUGGAAUUCCAUGUGUAGCGGUGAAAUGCGCAGAGAUAUGGAGGAACACCAGUGGCGAAGGCGACUUUCGGUCUGUAACGACGCAUGUGCGAAAGGUACACU
rnacentral:rRNA from 1 species